AACGAGCGCUGGCGGCAUGCCUAACACAUGCAAGUCGAACGAGACCUUCGGGUCUAGUGGCGCACGGGUGCGUAACGCGUGGGAACCUGCCCUUAGGUUCGGAAUAACUCCCCGAAAGGGGUGCUAAUACCGGAUCAUGUCUUCGGACCAAAGAUUUAUCGCCUUUGGAUGGGCCCGCGUUGGAUUAGCUAGUUGGUAGGGUAAAAGCCUACCAAGGCGACGAUCCAUAGCUGGUCUGAGAGGAUGAUCAGCCACACUGGGACUGAGACACGGCCCAGACUCCUACGGGAGGCAGCAGUGGGGAAUAUUGGACAAUGGGCGAAAGCCUGAUCCAGCAAUGCCGCGUGAGUGAUGAAGGCCUUAGGGUUGUAAAGCUCUUUUACCCGGGAUGAUAAUGACAGUACCGGGAGAAUAAGCUCCGGCUAACUCCGUG
rnacentral:rRNA from 1 species